GACGAGGGGUCCAAGCGUUGUUCGGAAUCAUUGGGCGUAAAGCGGGUGUAGGUGGCUUUGUAAGUCAGGAGUGAAAUCCCUGAGCUUAACUUGGGAAGUGCUUUUGAAACUGCAGAGCUUGAAUGUGGGAGAGGAUCGUGGAAUUCCAGGUGUAGUGGUGAAAUACGUAGAUAUCUGGAGGAACACCGGUGGCGAAGGCGGCGAUCUGGCCCAACAUUGACACUGAGACCCGAAAGCGUGGGGAUCAAACAGG
rnacentral:rRNA from 1 species